GAUGAACGCUGGCGGCGUGCCUAAUACAUGCAAGUCGAGCGAACAGACGAGGAGCUUGCUCCUUUGACGUUAGCGGCGGACGGGUGAGUAACACGUGGAUAACCUACCUAUAAGACUCGGAUAACUUCGGGAAACCGGAGCUAAUACCGGAUAACAUGUUGAACCGCAUGGUUCAACAGUGAAAGACGGUCUUGCUGUCACUUAUAGAUGGAUCCGCGCCGCAUUAGCUAGUUGGUAAGGUAACGGCUUACCAAGGCAACGAUGCGUAGCCGACCUGAGAGGGUGAUCGGCCACACUGGAACUGAGACACGGUCCAGACUCCUACGGGAGGCAGCAGUAGGGAAUCUUCCGCAAUGGGCGAAAGCCUGACGGAGCAACGCCGCGUGAGUGAAGAAGGUCUUCGGAUCGUAAAACUCUGUUAUUAGGGAAGAACAAAUGUGUAAGUAACUAUGCACGUCUUGACGGUACCUAAUCAGAAAGCCACGGCUAACUACGUG
rnacentral:rRNA from 1 species